rnacentral:rRNA from 1 species
GGCUUAAUGAAUUUGAUUUUAGGUCGAUCUGCCCAAUGAUAAUUUAAUUUAAUGGCUGCAGUAUAAUUAACUGUACAAAGGUAGCAUAAUAAAUUGUUUUUUAAUUGAAAACUGGUAUGAAAGAAUUAAUGAAAUAUAUACUGUCUCGUGUGUAUAUAUUAUGAAUUUAGAAUUUUAGUAAAAAUACUGAGAUUUUUUUAUGGGACGAUAAGACCCUAUAGAAUUUUAUAUUAAUAUAAUAUUAGAAAUAAUAUUAUAUUAAUAUUUGGUUGGGAGGAUUAGUAAAUUUAAUAAACUUUAUUUUAAAUUUUUACUUUGAUUUAAGAAUAUUUAAAGUGAUCAUGUAUUAAGAAUUAUAAGAAAAAAUUACCUUAGGGAUAACAGCGUAAUAUCUUUUUUAAGAUCUUAUUAAUAAAGAUGAUUGCGACCUCGAUGUUGAAUUAAGAUAAAUUUUAAAUGCAGAAGUUUAAUAAUUAAGUCUGUUCGACUUUUAAAAUCUUACAUGAUUUGAGUUCAAAUCGACGUGAGU